AUUUACAUAGAUAAUCUACCCCAGAUCCUAUUCUAAAACACCUAAGCAACAACAAGCACAUCCAACCUUCCAUCAACCUCAAAGGAUUUGGAUUCUUCAAAGCUUAAAAUCACUUAAUUCAACACGUCCAACCCAAUCAAUAUUUUGUCUUGAAUGUCAACAACAACACUAAAACAACACGAAGUGAAAUUCUUCAUGCAUACACAAACAAAUAACUAACUUAUGGUACUUCACUAUAUUAAUUGGAUGUGGGCUUCUAGCAACUGAGUGUGGAGGAGGUGGCCUUCGAGGACGUGAGCUGGGAUUAUCCUUAGGUACAUAUGUUGCCAAUGACCAAUGGUUUUCUUUGUGCAGUUGUUCUUGCAACACUCUUUUCUCAACAUCAUGUAUCAUCUUGUUAUUCUUUAUAAGUUGAUUUUCGCACACUUUACACUCCUUAACAACUUUUUCCACUCACUUGAUGAAUUAGCACUAUAUUCAUCAUGAUCCUCGCCACCAAUAUCUUGGGCUUCUUUAACAAUGUUCAAUCCUUCCUCCACUUUAGUCACUCCCCAAUCUCAUACAAUCAACAAUAAGAACUUCUUUACUAUGACCAAGAAAUAAAAAUAGACCAAUGUUAGCCAAGUUGUUAAUCACACAAUUAAAUACCUCAGCUACAGAGAAUGCUUCAUUUAAAUUGCUUAAUCGGAUCUUUACACACGGCUACUGCAGAAGCCGCGAAAAAAGAAAUUGUAUCCAUGGCAGGGAUGACAAUGACAACAUGUUGAACAACCUAAAGCUGGUGCCAAAAAGUUAAUGUUAGUCAUUAAAAAUUUCACAAAUUUAUUACACUUGAACUACAUACUUAUUUCUCGUAAAUGCUACUAACUUGCAAAACAAGAAUGUAACCAACCAAGUAUAUUUCACUAACAUUCCUUUGGUUGUUAUAUACUUCGGAUGCCCGUGUUAAAUUAGAAACUAUUAAGUCAUAAACUGCACCGCCUUAAUUGUAUACAUCCAGUGCAUCUAAAUUCUCUAAAACCUUCAAAAGAAAUGAAGAAAAACUCCUAGAAGUCCUAGGAAAAUAAAAAACAUAUAAUAAAAUAACUAUGUACAACCUACAGAAUUCAUCAAUAUUUGUUUUCUUUUUAUAAAUUUUAUUCGCCAUUUUUUUCCAAAAGAGUUUCUAUUUUUUUGUCCUCUCCACCAAAUACCCCAUCAACCAACCCACCACCAUCAUCCUCUAAAUGUAAUUUUUCACCCACCACUUGCAACCCCUAGCGAAACAGACAUCCAUAACCUUAAAAGGCAUUAAAUGUUGCCUUAUCCUAAAACAAUUAUUAUGACCACUGCACCUACUAAUUAAUUCGUGAAGAAAAGGACUUAAUAUGUCCAAUUCAUCUUCUAAUUGGAGCAUCCACUUAAAAGGUGUCCACGUCAAAUUGUGAUUGAUGUCAACAAUAUGUUGAGUGUGCACUAUGUGUCUUACUCUUAUCUACAAAAUAACUAUGCAAUGCAAAUGUUUGUAUUCAAUAUAAUUUCACAAUUUCAAAAUUAAUUAUUAGCAACCUAGUAAUAUUACCAGUCAAACCUUCAUUUCCCUUUCUUCAUGAUCAAAGUUUUAACCAUCAUACUUUCUCAUAUAACUAGAAGGAGUCAUUUCACAAUUGUUCAAAACAAAAUAUAUCAACCACUUCAACUUAUGUAAAUUACAUACAACAACAAUAACAAAUUUACUAACUUCUUUUUAACCCUAAAAUAAAAUAACAAACAAAUCACCACCAAAAGAAGUAAGCGAAAAAUCAAUCGCAACAAUCACGCCCACCACCACACACAACAAAAUAUACAAAAUAAAACAAAAAUAAUUAACCCUAAACCAAAAAUCAACCGGGACAACCACCAUCACAAAUAAAGAAAAAUCACAAAUCAAUAUCGAUAAAACCAGUCAAUAAACCUAUUGUACGAAAAAAGAAAACAAUUGUAAACCUUACCAACCACAGUUGUUAUGUUUUCCUCUCUCACUGUCGUCACCUAUGUUUUCCUCUCUCACUACCGUCACCUUCUGUUUCAGUCUCUCGCUACCUCGCUACCGUCAUUAUCUGUUUUAGUCUCUCACUGCGAGUCUGCCUUUUCUUCUUCUUUUGUUUU
rnacentral:lncRNA from 1 species